rnacentral:rRNA from 1 species
GAGGAAUAUUGGUCAAUGGGCGGAAGCCUGAACCAGCCAAGUAGCGUGCAGGAUGACGGCCCUAUGGGUUGUAAACUGCUUUUAUACAGGAAUAAAGUUAGCCACGUGUGGUUAUUUGUAGGUACUGUAUGAAUAAGGACCGGCUAAUUCCGUGCCAGCAGCCGCGGUAAUACGGAAGGUCCAGGCGUUAUCCGGAUUUAUUGGGUUUAAAGGGAGCGUAGGCCGUCUGUUAAGCGUGUUGUGAAAUGUAGAUGCUCAACAUCUGAAUUGCAGCGCGAACUGGCAGACUUGAGUGUGCGCAACGUAGGCGGAAUUCGUGGUGUAGCGGUGAAAUGCUUAGAUAUGACGAAGAACUCCGAUUGCGAAGGCAGCUGACGGGAGCACUACUGACGCUGAAGCUCGAAAGUGCGGGUAUCGGAC